rnacentral:rRNA from 1 species
UACGUAGGUGGCAAGCGUUGUCCGGAAUUAUUGGGCGUAAAGCGCGCGCAGGUGGUUCCUUAAGUCUGAUGUGAAAGCCCACGGCUCAACCGUGGAGGGUCAUUGGAAACUGGGGAAUUUGAGUGCAGAAGAGGAAAGUGGAAUUCCAAGUGUAGCGGUGAAAUGCGUAGAGAUUUGGAGGAACACCAGUGGCGAAGGCGGCGCUCUGGACCGAGACUGACGCUGAGGCGCGAAAGCGUGGGGAGCAAACAGG